UCACCUCGGAGAUCCUCAGUUUGCGGCCCCCAUUUUGACUCUGUUAGAAUGCCUAGGAGAAGUGGUUUUCUCUCUGGGCCGAAUUUGGGGCUGCAUUGCGAAAUACCAAUGAACCAGGACCCACGUUAGCAAUCCUGUAUCAGAACACCGACGACCACGGUGGAACUAGACUCCCAAACAGGUAGUCAUCUCACUCCCUGACAUCGGAAGGCGGCCUGGACAUUAUCCGUUCCGAGGUGGAAACGUAAAACCGUAGGAUCGAGACGUGAAGAGAGUCAGCUCACCGGAAACCAUACUACUAGUCUUAACUAUUGCCUCUCCAAAUAAAGAGAGGGGUGAGAAGACAAAGUCAGUUGCCACUCAUCUAGAUGUGUGUGCUCUGUUGUCUGGAGAAAGGAAGGUUAGAGUUACAGGAAACAGCUGUGAGCUUGUUUCCAUCGCCCGCCUGGCCUCUCAAGUCGUACCGUAUGCGGUCUAUUGGCCUGAUGCUUCCCAAUGCCACAGAGAUAUUUGCAGUGAACCUCAGGUGGUAAAACCGAAGAACUGAAAAUGGCAUCUAAGAACUCGAACGGUGAGAAUCGAGGGUACCUUUAAUCUGGGCUACUAGAACCUUUUCAUCCCGCUCGCUUCUCCCGUCACAGGAAAGGUCACUCGUUCAGACCGUUGAGCGGUCGGGUAUCAGAACCGAGUUCAAACAACAACAGCAAAAGCAAAGAAAGAAAAAAGGAAACCAAGUUUGACUUAAGGAUAUUCCCAUUCUGACUUCUGAAAAGUCCAAUUUGAAGAGAGAGCCGGCACUGGAGCCAAAGCUUGAGCGCACCCACCGAAUGGAGUGAAACGGUCACCCGGUGUAAAGCCCAGCUGCCCGUGUCACCAAAGCUUGGAUGGUCUAAAGAAAUACUGCACGACUGACUACUGUUUAACCUUAGUAGACUCUCUGGCUUCUGGAUACCCUUAGAGAGCCAGCACGUAACGCACCACCACACACCUGAACGGCACCGACACCUCCGCCAACGAGUCUCCUACCACGCACACAACAAGAGCAUCGUGAAGCACCGCUCGCGCGUUAACUACGGCAGGAUAGGCCACACUCCGGAGGGUGGGCGAUUUACUCCGGAAACACACUAAGGUUUGGGGGGAGGGGUGGCGCGCCGAACUGAAUGCUUAAAAACUACUCCGCUACUAUUGGAAAUGGCGAGUCCGGCCCGGGUCAGGCCCCGUACCACCUCCCUCCCUGCCCCCCCCCCGGCAAAAAUCUGAGUAUCUGCCACUUUAAUCCAGGAUUACCUACGGCCACGAUUACACGGGUUAGAAGAACGGCGGUCGCGUUGGCCAUUCGGGUUCUUAGAGACGAUCUGCAAAUGAGAAUCCGAAGAGAAGCGUUCAAUUCCAAACGGCCCAACGUCUCGGUCCGGGAGAGAAUAGAAAGUUUGCAUACGUACCUUCUGUAGAAUUCCAUCUUAGUGAUAUAUAAGUCUGCCUCGUCGCUGCAGUGAAAAAGCAACCCAUCUCUGAGCAGCGAUUAGCCUGUUUAAGACUACGGGCACUUUCCCAGAGUUUUCUAAUCGAAUCCAUCAGGGACAGACCCGGAAUUUUUUUUUUUUUUUUUUUUCCCCCAACGGCGGGUCAGAAGGGACCCCGUUUUGGUUACGAUCUUCACUUCACCGGGAAACCGUUAAAAUUUUAAUCCUCUGGGUUUAUGUGAGUCAUCUCUGGAAGAAGUUACUUGGGUCCCUUAUGCUCAUAUCCUGGAUUUACUCUCCCUAGAAUUAGUUUCUGGAUUUUGACGGACUUAAAAAGCGUUUGUUUUUUUUUUGUUUUUUUUAAAAGGCACUGACACGUCACACCACCGUGUUUCUCUAGACCUUCCGGGUACUUUUAAUACACCAGCGUCUCCGUCGGUCCGGGCCCGGAUCGAGUGUUUCCCCGGCAAGGCCAGUGUGCCUCCGAGACCGACAUCCUUCUCAACGGUACCUGGGAUACGUCUUCCGGGAGAGAGAGGAGUUGGACCGGUCCUACGUAAUCACGACAAGACGUUAAUUAAAAUGCCAAGAUAGGAAACGAUUUAUUAUAGAGAGAAGAAAAAUUUCUCAUCCAAAAUAUAGAAAUCUGUACAACUUUGCCACAAUCAAUAUACAUGAACUGUACAAAUUUACACCAGUUCAUAAUUUACCAAAUAAAAGAUGACCAACAAAGUUCACAAAAUAGAUGGCGGUUUGUGGAAAAGACUUUUACCCAAUUAAGUACAAGGAAAAUUACAAACCAGACCUCCACUUUCUAAAAAUAAGAAGUUUACUCAGUCUUAUAAAACUACAAGCUAGCAAAUGUACAGAGAGCUGGCCGGCGCUAAACGCACACCACAGUUCAGACGGUGUCUUUAUCUGGUCUCUUUAAAGCCUGUCGCCGCGGCAGAUUCCGGCGGCCCGCUACUUCCGAGGCCGAAGACACGGGGCCCCGACCGUCUCCCCCGGGUCGCGCUCGCUAGAUCGACCGUCUUAUGUACAUUUAUACAUAUCGUAAGUGCUAGGUAAGAGUCUGUCGUACGGUUUCCGGCACCGCCGCGUCCGAACGCUCGAGCUCCGCCACCGAGCCGCCGGGAGGGUCGACCUAGAACGCCCUACGGACGCGACGGCGCAAGGAUCCGCUCCGCGAGGUCUACCGCGGAGGGGGCGGCGGAUACGGGUCCGAGUCGAAGGAAUCGACGGAGAGGUCGAGUCAGAGGGGAGAGGCCGAAUCCACCCUGAGACUUCACUCCCUAGCGGACGAGAGCGGUCGUUUAUUUGGACUCACGGGCUACCAGAUCACCGAGAGGUACCGUCCAGACUAUGGCACCGUCGCUUUAAAAACCGACCCUUCUACCCCGUGCCAGAUCUUCACAGCCGUGACACGGUAUAAAUUCCAUAAUCCAUCCCCAAGAGGAGCCCACCCAAAGCCGG